UCAGGUAAAUUCCUGCAUUAUCUGUUGCCAGAGCAGGAUCUUUGUGUAAUUCAUGUGUGCAGUCAAAGAAAUGUCAAAGCACACCCAACAACAAAAGUCAUUCAAGGGCUAGGUUAGCAAGAACAGUUGUAACCUCGGAGUCCUCUAUGAGUCCUUCAAUGAGUUUCUCUUUGCUUGGUGGCAGUGUGGGGAUAAGAAAGACACGGUCUGCGAACAAGCUUCGAAUGUCAAAGUCUGCUGAUAAUGGUUUAGCGGUUAUUUCUUAUCCAAGGGGACUCUGUGGAAAACAUCCAGAAAGCUGGAAUCCUCUGAAUCUAGGUCACCUGGAGCAGAU